UAACACUACCUCUACUGCAGGG
rnacentral:siRNA from 1 species